rnacentral:misc_RNA from 1 species
AAGACUAUAGACCUGCGGAGUACCUGCGGAAGGAUCAUUAGUGAACGCCCUCGCGGGCUUAUAACUAUUCCAAACCUCUGUGAACCGUGCCCUUCGGGGCUAUUUUACAAACAUGGUGUAAUGAACGUCAUAUAUCAUAACAAAACAAAACUUUUAACAACGGAUCUCU